rnacentral:rRNA from 1 species
UACAGAGGUCUCAAGCGUUGUUCGGAUUCAUUGGGCGUAAAGGGUGCGUAGGUGGCGCGCUAAGUCAGGUGUGAAAUUUCGGAGCUUAACUCCGAAACUGCAUUUGAUACUGGCGUGCUUGAGGACUGGAGAGGAGACUGGAAUUACGGUGUAGCAGUGAAAUGCGUAGAGAUCGUAAGGAAGACCAGGUGGCGAAGGCGGGUCUCUGGACAGUUCC